GUUUCUGUAGUGUAGUGGUUAUCACGUUCGCCUCACACGCGAAAGGUCCCAGGUUUCGAAACCUGGCAGAAACA